rnacentral:rRNA from 1 species
UACGAAGGGGGCUAGCGUUGCUCGGAAUUACUGGGCGUAAAGGGCGCGUAGGCGGCACUGUUAGUCAGGCGUGAAAGUCCUGGGCUCAACCUGGGAACUGAGCUUGAUACGGCAGAGCUAGAGGAUGGAAGAGGCUCGCGGAAUUCCCAGUGUAGAGGUGAAAUUCGUAGAUAUUGGGAAGAACACCGGUGGCGAAGGCGGCGAGCUGGUCCAUUACUGACGCUGAGGCGCGACAGCGUGGGGAGCAAACAGG